UACGUAGGGUGCAAGCGUUGCCCGGAUUUAUUGGGCGUAAAGGGCGCGUAGGCGGCUCGGCACGUCCGUUGUGAAAUCGCCCGGCUCAACUGGGCGGGGUCAGCGGAUACGGUCGAGCUUGAGCAAGCUAGGGGGCAAUGGAAUUCCCGGUGUAGCGGUGAAAUGCGUAGAUAUCGAGAGGAACACCUGAGGUGAAGACGGGUUGCUGGGCCGACACUGACGCUGACAGCGCGAAAGCCAGGGGAGCAAACGGG
rnacentral:rRNA from 1 species